GAGCGAGACUCCAUCUCAAAAAUAAUAAUAAUAAUAAAAUGAUACCGAUUCAUGACAUGGUGAUUGAUGAAGCUGAAUAUUACUGUUGACUAUUCUUUGUUUCAUUUACUGAGUCAACAAAAAGGUAUUGACUGUCUUUUGUGUGGGAGGCUCUGCUUUAAGCCCCGGACAUAAGGCAGCGACUAUUUGGCAGAGCGGUAAACAUUUUCCCUCUUUCCUACCUCCUGAAUUUCUUCCGGGAUCAUAAAAUCACACCGA
rnacentral:lncRNA from 1 species